UACAGAGGUCUCAAGCGUUGUUCGGAUUCAUUGGGCGUAAAGGGUGUGUAGGUGGCGCCGUAAGUCGGGUGUGAAAUUUCGGAGCUUAACUCCGAAACUGCAUUCGAUACUGCGGUGCUUGAGGACUGGAGAGGAGACUGGAAUUCAUGGUGUAGCAGUGAAAUGCGUAGAGAUCAUGAGGAAGACCAGUGGCGAAGGCGGGUCUCUGGGCCGUAACUGACGCUGAGGAGCGAAAGCAUGGGGAGCGAACAGG
rnacentral:rRNA from 1 species